rnacentral:rRNA from 1 species
AAAUUGAAGAGUUUGAUCAUGGCUCAGAUUGAACGCUGGCGGCAGGCCUAACACAUGCAAGUCGAACGGUAACAGGAAUCAGCUUGCUGAUUCGCUGACGAGUGGCGGACGGGUGAGUAAUGUCUGGGAAACUGCCUGAUGGAGGGGGAUAACUACUGGAAACGGUAGCUAAUACCGCAUAACGUCGCAAGACCAAAGAGGGGGACCUUCGGGCCUCUUGCCAUCGGAUGUGCCCAGAUGGGAUUAGCUAGUAGGUGGGGUAAAGGCUCACCUAGGCGACGAUCCCUAGCUGGUCUGAGAGGAUGACCAGCCACACUGGAACUGAGACACGGUCCAGACUCCUACGGGAGGCAGCAGUGGGGAAUAUUGCACAAUGGGCGCAAGCCUGAUGCAGCCAUGCCGCGUGUAU